rnacentral:rRNA from 1 species
UAACUGAAGAGUUUGAUCAUGGCUCAGAUUGAACGCUGGCGGCAGGCUUAACACAUGCAAGUCGAGCGGGGGAAGUUGCUUCGGUAACUGACCUAGCGGCGGACGGGUGAGUAAUACUUAGGAAUCUGCCUAUUAAUGGGGGACAACAUCUCGAAAGGGAUGCUAAUACCGCAUACGCCCUACGG